UAUGAAUGAAACUAUUGGUUAUAUUUCGAAUGUUUGCAUUUACAAGAUCCAGCGAGGAGACCUGAGCUUGAUUGGGGCAGACGCUUCAAUAUUAUUCAGUGUGUUGCUAGAGGGCUUCUUUAUCUCCACCAUGAUUCGUAUUUGAAGGUCAGUAACAUUCUCUCGGAUGAGAACGUGAACCCCAAAAUUUCAGAUUUUUUAUUGGCACUUAUCGUUCAAGGGACACAGCAUCUAACAAAUACUCAGAAGAUUGUGGGAACACUGUAAGCAUCAUUCCUUUUCCUAUUCUUGGAAGAGCAUCACAACUCAGAUUUCAAUGUUCAGCAUAUUGUCAUUCAUAUCAGUGUAUUAGUGAAUUUAUAUGGAAGCAGAGAUAACAUGUAGGAAAUCUAGCUGUACCAUUCAUUUUAUUUAGAACCCUGCAAUCUUAACUGAAACAUUUGUUGCAUGCCAUUAAGAUAUAAAUUUUGUGGCACUUUUCUGAAGACCAGAAACAAAUAAAGAAUAAAUAUUGUCAGUUAAGUACCAAUGAAUUGCCUUUGCAUUGGCUAUAUGUCUCCAGAGUAUGCCACAGGAGGGAUAUUUUCUGAAAAAUCGGAUGUCUAUAGCUUCGGGGUCUUGAUAUUGGCGAUUAUUAGCGGCAGGAACAAUACCAGCUUCUAUUACUUUGAAAAACAUCUAGGUGUCCUAGCUUAUAUAAGUUCACAGUCUAAAUCCUACAAGCUAAGUACAGCAGAGUCUAACAAGUCUAGCCAACAUACGCGAAAUUUUGUCAGGCAUGGUACUCGUGGAAUGAAGGCAGGGGAUAUGACUUGGUUGAUGAAGUAUUGGCUGAUUCAUAUUCCUCAUCAGAAGUGAUGAGAUGUGUGCACACUGGGCUUCUCUGUUUACAAGACAAGACCAUGCUGCAGAUAGGCCAACCAUGCCAGAUGUAAUUUUUUUUUUUU
rnacentral:lncRNA from 1 species